ACAGUGUCAAUACUAUAGAUGGACAGCAGAGGUCCCUUUCUCAUGAAAUCUUCUACGGGACAGCUGGGAGAGAGCAAAGCUUGUGUGAAUAGACUUGCCGCACCCGCACCGCAACACGUCUUGAAACUUCCCCAGUUCAAUCCACAAGCUGAAUCUGCCAUCUGUCAGAAUGAACAUAGAGGCAUCUUGAUAACUGUCAGUUUUCUUGCUCAUAGUACAUACCAGUUAAUCUAUACCAUAACACAGAAAUACCUAAACUUGCAUGCAUGGUUGUUCAGUCAGUAGACUACAAUCGUUUGUGGUUUUAUUUUUCGGAAUGAAGUGAAUUACAUUUGUUGUUCAAUUAAAUAAUGUUCCGAUAAACUAUUUUAGCCGCUCAAUCAUGGUUUGAUUGUAUUUACACACCUGAAGUAAGCACACAAAUAUUGUCUUGACAUGCUGAGAACAUUUCUUGGUUUGAUUUCUUAGUAUUGAAUUGAAUAAUGAUAUGUUUCGAGACCACUGUUUCAACUGGUAAGAUACAGUAUGUGAACUGUAGGUGUGUCUGUGACAUAAAGACUUGCCCACACGUGUUUCAGGUGUUUCAUAACAGUCUGUCUAUCGCCGCCAACUGCCAAAAGAGUGGAAAAUUACCAACUGGCAAACAAUUUCUUAGGACUUAUGUAAGGAUUACUUGCAUGAAACAGUAUAAUAUUUAAAAGGAUUUACCACUCAAAAGGUAUGUGGAAAAUCAUGGUAGGUUGUAUUUUUAGUUGACUAUACCUUUAAAAUUGUGUUGAACUGAGAUGACAGGAAGUGUUGACCUGAGAUGAUAUGAUUACAUGAAGGCUUGGUCUUACAGGGUUUAUACUGGGGUUUACACUGAUAGUUAUAUUUUACAUUAACCCCCACCCCCCCACCCACCAACACAAACACACAAAGCGAGAUGCAGGGAUCGUGUGUUAGGUGGAGCUCUGUUUACUAUCUAAAGUGCUGACAGUUAGAUUUGAUUCACUAGUUCCUGCCCACUGUCUGUCUUUUUUUGCUCCUGUUAUUAUAUUUUCUAAAUUGAUGGGCUGAUCCUUACAAGAGCUUUCAGCCCACUUCACAUGCACAAACACAUUACAUACAGUACCAGUCAAAAGUUUGGACAAACCUGCUCAUUCCAGUGUUUUUCAUUAUUUGUACUAUUUUCUACAGUGUAGAAUAAUAGUGAAGAUAUCAAAACUAUUAAAUAACACAUAUGGAAUCAUGUAGUAACCAAAAAAGUGUUAAAAUAUAUUUUUGGGAUUUGAGAGUCUUCAAAGUAGCCACCCUUUGCCUUGAUGACAGCUUUGCACACUCUUGGCAUUUUCUCAUCCAGCUAGUGACACUGCCAAUGAUUUAUUUAGAAUUCAAGGCACACUUAAUCAGCAUGGCUACCACCAUUCUGUAUGGAUACGCCAUCCAAUCUGGUUUGGGCUUAGUGGGACGAUCAUUUGUUUUUCAACAGGUCAAUGACCCAAAACACACCUCCAGGCUGUGUAAGGGCAAUUUGACCAAGAAGGAGAGUGAUGGAGUGCUGCAUCAGAUGACCUGGCCUCCACAAUCACCCAACCUCAACCCAAUUGAGAUGGUUUGGGAUGAGUUGGACCGCAGAUUGAAGGAAAAGCAGCCAAUAAAUGCUCAGCAUAUGUGGGAACUCCUUCAAAACAGUUGGAAAAGCAUUCCAGGUAAAGCUGGUUGAAAGAAUGCCAAGAGUUUGCAAAGCUUUCAUCAAGGCAAAGGGUGGCUACUUUGAAGAAUCUAAAAUAUAACAUAUAUUUUGAUUUGUUUAACACUUGUUUGGUUACUACAUGAUUCCAUAUGUGUUAUUUCAUAGUAUUGAUGUCUUCACUAUUGUUCUACAAUGUAGAAAAUAGUAAAAAUAAAGAAAAACCCUUGAAUGAGUAGAUGUGUCCAAACUUUUGACUCGUACUGUACACACUCAUAGCAUGCAGACAAUCACCAAGAGAAUUCAUUGUAUGUUUUUCUAAUGUUAUCUCAAUUUAUUUGAGAUUAAAUGUGUAUUAUGCACUUGCAUUUUGAUGAAUGCUCUCAUCAUCUCAAAAUUCAGUUCAUGAUGUCCCUUUUUGUGGAUAAGUUCACUUCCAGUGUUCUACAGAGGGAGGAGUGACCCCAUAAGCCCCAUCUCCAUAGGUACUGUAUAACUAGUGUGUGUGUGUGUGUGUGUGUGUGUGUGUGUGUCUAAGGGGCGGGGGAUAGAUAUGGUAGCAGGUAGCAGCUUGUGUGUAUGGGAGAGGGUGUUUAUGUAAACCCAUGCUCUAUAGUAUAUAUAGGAGUGAGAGGUAGCUAAGAAAAGCAGAUCUCCUGUUUUGUCCUUUAUAAUUCUUGAUACUGACCCUGCUCUGCUGUAGCCAUGACGACCAUGCUGCUGAGCGCACUAAAAGCACUGCUCUGCUCCUUGGUUGUCACCGCUGAGGUCAUGCCCCAAGGAGACUUCAAUCUACAGGGGGUAGCAGGAAAGUGGUACGUGAUUGGAUUUGCCACUAAUGCCCAUCAACCACAAGGCCAGCAUGAAGAUGGGCAACGCCAUGCUGACACCAACUGCUGAUGGAGACCAGGAAAUGGCAUAUUCUAGCCGGAAGUAAGAGAGAAAGAGAGAGACCUUGUGCUGAUUCUGUAUUAACUGUAUUGUCUCUGUAGCGCUGAUGGCUGCUGCUGGAGAAUGAACCACCUGGCCAAGAAGACACUUCUGGGGGAAAUUAAUCUUCAAGAGCGAGCGCUGGAGUAAUGAAAAUGACAUGCGUGUCGUUGAAGUUAAGUAUGACGAGUAUGCUCUUAUUCACACCAAGACCAAGGGUGUUUCAGCUGUGCUCACCAACCUGUAUGUAUAUUUAGUGUGCCAUGUAUUGUACCGUGGGACAGACCUGAGCCCUGGCCUGCUGUAGAAGUUUAGGCAGUUCUCCCUGGACACUGGCUAUCCUCCCCCCAAAAAUGAUGAGUGUCCUGCUGUGAAAUUUCAUCCAUGUUUUUCACUUUCUAAACGUGCUCCCUUGAUCAGUCUGCAUGGCAUUGCUACUCGGCCGGUAGACCCAUGGCAACCAUUUACCACCUUUAGCUCCGUUGGCCCAUCAGGAUCCGCCUUCACUAGGCAAUUCAGAUGCAAGUUCAUCCCAGCGUCCAUGUUGGUGGAGAUGAAUUUAUGCACCUGCGCGUCCAUUAAACACUACCCCACGCUGGUGGGAAACUGGAGCUGCAUAGAGUACAGACUCCAAAAACUCACAAUGACCCUAUUGGCUUCUUCUGAAUACCUGUAACUCCCUGCAGAUGAUGCCACCCCCAUAAUCCAGCCAACAGCCUCCAUGCCUGCUCUGGAUCAUGUGUACCCAUUUUUAUGCUCACCUGUACUGUAUUGUACUAUACUGUAUUGUACUAUACUGUAUUUUAUACUUCCAUUGGUAAAUAUCUGUCUUUCUACUAAAAUCCGUUUUCACCUUUGACUAAAUGUAUUUUGGUACAAUACAAUGUAAAUAAACAUUUGACAUCUGACUUUA